AUUUUCUAAAGGUAUUUGAAACUUGACUGCACAGGUAGGAACGGUGAACGCGCGAAAUAGACAAUUUGACGAAUCACUGAAGAUGCGUGAGCUCGGGUAUGCAAAGUAUGCAAACUUAAAAGAGACUCAUUUGCAUUCGGAUUCCCCUUUUCUUUUGAAAUGAUAAACAAAUAAACACAUUGAGGGCACGGAGACACGCGCGAAAUCUCGCACUCUCUUCAAGCCUUAUGGUAAAAGAUGCACAAUGUGCACAACACAAUGGAUCGUAU
ensembl:ncRNA ZK381.48 ncRNA